rnacentral:lncRNA from 1 species
GGGUGAAAAAAUCCCCAGGAAUAGCUGUUUUAUUUGUGUAUUCUCAUCCAGAGCUGCAUUUGCCCACAGAUGUGAUGGAAGGUUUUUAAUGGAGAAGUGAUACUUUCCUUUAAAUCACCUGGAACAUUUAGGAAAAAUUUAGCAGCUCAUCAAGCACAGAAGUUUCUCUUCAUGUGCAACUCUAAUGUUAAAUGGAAGUGAAGACUAAUCAAGCUUAACCAUCUUCAAUGCUCAGCUAAUAAAGAGAAAAGGGAAGUUUUGAAUGCUCGUGCCCUUGAUGUGAAAUUCGUAGCGCUCUUCCCUGCCCAUCAGCAGCAAAAGGCUUCGCUGGACCUGCACAGGCUCGCAGGGCAGGUGCAAUUGUCACCAGGAGAUGGACGGGUCGCUCCCUGGUUUCGCUUCCAAUUGAAGCAGAGAUUAAUGCCGGUGUUACCAGCUCCUAAAACAGGCUGAGAUAACAGUCCUCUGGAAGAGCUGGAAAAUACACAAAAAC